CCCUACGGGGCGCAGCAGGCGCGAAAACUUCGCACUGUGGGAAACCACGACGAGGGAAUUCCAAGUGCUUAUACAUUGUAUAAGCUGUUUAUUUGUCUAAAAACAAGUAGAGUAAGGGCUGGGUAAGACGGGUGCCAGCCGCCGCGGUAAUACCCGCAGCCCAAGUGGUGCUCUUUAUUAUUGAGUCUAAAACGUCCGUAGCCGGCUUGGUAAAUUCUUGGGGAAAUCGAACGGCUUAACUGUUCGAAGUCCGGGGAGACUGCCAGGCUUGGGAUCGGGGGAGGUUUGAGGUACUUUAAGGGUAGGGGUGAAAUCCUGUAAUCC
rnacentral:rRNA from 1 species